rnacentral:rRNA from 1 species
GACGUAGGAUGCAAGCGUUGUCCGGAUUUAUUGGGCGUAAAGAGUUCGUAGGGGGUUUGUUAAGUCUGAUGUUAAAGACUGGGGCUCAACCUCGGAAAUGCAUUGGAUACUGGCAGACUCGAGUGCAGUAGAGGCAAGUGGAAUUCCCAGUGUAGCGGUGAAAUGCGUAGAUAUUGGGAAGAACACCGGUGGCGCAAGCGACUUGCUGGGCUGUAACUGACGCUGAGGAACGAAAGCUAGGGGAGCAAAUGGG